rnacentral:rRNA from 1 species
UACAGAGACUGCAAGCGUUAUUCGGAUUCACUGGGCGUAAAGGGUGCGCAGGCGGCCAAGUGUGUGAGGCGUGAAAGCCCAGGGCUUAACCCUGGAAUUGCCUUUAAGACUGCAUCGCUAGAAUCGUGGAGAGGUGAGUGGAAUUCCGAGUGUAGAGGUGAAAUUCGUAGAUAUUCGGAAGAACACCAGUGGCGAAGGCGACUCACUGGACACGUAUUGACGCUGAGGUGCGAAAGCGUGGGGAGCAAACAGG